AGACUAGGGCUGCAUUUAUUUGGGGUGUGAGUGGCACGCUGUAGGCUGUGGGACGGUCGGGACAGCGAGAGGUGCCGCUGCUGAGGUGUGGUUGGGUUUCCAGAAAGAGGGAAGCAUAGAUAGGAAGGUGGAGGAGGAGGAAAUAUGUAAAAAAAAAAAAAAAAGUGGGAGAGAUGGAAGGAUUGGUCAUGCGCAAGACCGCAGGCCGUUGGAGGCAGCUUAGAAAUCUCUUACAUCUGGAACAGCCAUAAUUCGUGGGAUUUGGCCUGACAGCCAUGACAGGCGUUGAGGCGGCCAGCAACAACUGUCUCCUGUGUGAAACUCCAAAAUAGAAUAUGCUGCAUUUAUGUCACUAACUCGCUCUGAAAGGUGAAGCUAAUCUAUGAGACAUAAAGAAGAAGCUCAAAUUGAUGCUUUUCAUUUCCAUGAAUUGUGACAAAAUUCUGAUUGUAAAACAGAAAAAUUAAAUAUCCUUAAUGUGAAUAAAGAGAUGAGCGCUUUUCUACUGUU